rnacentral:rRNA from 1 species
UACGUAGGGGGCAAGCGUUGUCCGGAUUUAUUGGGCGUAAAGAGCGUGUAGGCGGUUUGGUAGGUCCGCUGUGAAAACUCGAGGCUCAACCUCGAGACGCCGGUGGAAACCAUCAGACUAGAGUCCGGAAGAGGAGAGUGGAAUUCCUGGUGUAGCGGUGAAAUGCGCAGAUAUCAGGAAGAACACCCGUGGCUAAGGCGGGUCUCUGGGGCCGAUAUUGACGCUGAGGAGCGAAAGCGUGGGGAGCGAACAGG